rnacentral:sRNA from 1 species
UUAUUGAAGAAAAUGAAUCUAGAGUCGGUUGUCGCUGGCCCUCCGGGCAUGUGCACGCCUUCUCUUUUUCAUCCACACACACACACCUGUGCAUUUGUGAGACGGGAGGGUCUAUUUUAUUAUGGACCUUUUCGUCUAUUAAAACCCACACAAACUCAUUUAUUUUGAACCGAAUGUAAUUGAUGUAGCACAUCAUUUGAACUAAGUUUCAACAACGGAUCUCUUGGCUCUCGCAUCGAUGAAGAACGCAGCGAAAUGCGAUAAGUAAUGUUAAUUGCAGAAUUCAGUGAAUCAUCGAAUCUUUGAACGCACCUUGCGCCCCUUGGUAUUCCUUGGAGCAUGCCUGUUUGAGUAUCAUGAAAUUCUCAAAGCAAGCCUUUUGUUAAUUCAAUCGGUCUUCUUGCUUUGGACUUGGAGGCUUGCAGAUUUCACACUCUGCUCCUCUUAAAUUCAUUAGCUGGAUCUCGGUAUAUGCUCGGUUCCACUCGGCGUGAUAAGUAAAUCACUCGUCGAGGACACUGUUAAAAAGGUGGCCGGGAAAUGCAGACGAACCGCUUCCAAUGGUCUAUUGAAUUAGGCAAUACUCUUAAGAUCUCUGAUCUCAAAUCAGGCAGGACUACCCGCUGAACUUAAGCAU